AGUCCAGCGUGUAAUCCACGGCGAAAGGCCCUGUACAGCGCUAUUUCUCCUGCCAUGGAGGUGGUAAAGAGCCUGGCAGCCCUGCUGAAGGAUUCACCAGCUUCUCUGAUUGAGAAGGAGGAGGAUCAUGUCCAGCCAGCCUUCCCUGUGAUGCAAGUCAGGGGAGGGGCCUCAAGUUCACCACUCACAGUGGUGCUGGAGGACUGCUCCUUCGAGGUAACGGACAUUAUGGCCGGUAUUGCGCUCAUUCUUGUGCUAUACUGGGUCCAUGACAUUUCCUGCUGUCCAAAAAGCAUCCUGGUCACUUGCUGUGAUUGGCAACUUCAUUGGCUUGACCUACAAGACCAAGUCAUUCUUGGUACUAGAUUUAAUUUAAAAACUGGAAGAUUGAGAUCUUAAAUGAGUGUAUUUUUUUACAUGUACAUUAAAAUCUGUUUUUUUAACGA
rnacentral:lncRNA from 1 species